rnacentral:rRNA from 1 species
AGCGAACGCUGGCGGCAGGCCUAACACAUGCAAGUCGAACGAACUCUUCGGAGUUAGUGGCGGACGGGUGAGUAACACGGGGGAACGUGCCUGUUGGUUCGGAAUAACUCAGGGAAACUUGUGCUAAUACCGAAUGUGCUCUUCGGGGAAAAGAUUUAACGCCAUUAGAGCGGCCCGCGACCGUUUAGCUUGUUGGUAAGGUAACCGCUCACGAAGGCGUCGAUCAGUAGCUGGGAUGAGAGAAAGACCAGCCACACUGGGACUAGGACACGGCCGAGACUACUACGCGAGGCGGCAAUGGGUGAUCUAGCGCAAUCGGGGGAAGGAUGACGGCGCCAGGCCUGGUGAAUGAUGAAGGUCUGAGGAUAGUGAAAUUCUUUCACCGGGGACGAUUAUGACGGUACCCGGAGAAGAAGCCCCGGCUAACUUCGUG